rnacentral:lncRNA from 1 species
CACCAAAGGAAUCUGCUUAUCCGGCGUUUGAUAGAAUUCCCAGAUCAUCCUGACACGAUAGCAUUGCUGGCUGAAGUGAGGAGCAGUCCUUAUGGUUUGUACACAGGAGGCUGAGUCCUGAUUUUUGUUCCUCCCUUUACUUUUGCUUUAUUGCUGUGUAGUGAUGAUCCACAGGCUUGUUGUGGAAAUCCUCUUUUGAUGUACUAUCGGCUAAGGCC